GUGACUUUGCAUGUUUCUGUUCUGAUCUAUUUGUGAAUUAUCUUCAUUCAUGACCAAGUUCUUGUGGUCGAGGUGGAGGUUGCCAGGAGAGAUCAGACUGCAGGCUGCAGAUAAGUAAGUGGUAAGAAUAUUGGGUGCAGGAAGAGGGCAUAAGGUGCUGUAGCUACAGAGCUUUCAUGGAAGAGAUGGGAUUAAUGUGGCCGCCCACGGUUAGGAUUUAUACAGAGGAGUACUCCGGAUGGGAAACUUGAAGCAUACUGCUUAAGCCAUUUCAUUCUAGCCGGACCAGACGAUUGCCAUUGGGAUGUAGCGUAUGGGAUAAGUUUUUCCCAGUGCAAAGAGAAAAAGAAAGAUGUCUUAGGCUUUGCCUAAGGCAAACUAAAUCUCCAAGAAAGAGCAACAUCUAGGAAGAAAGUAAUGAGCUGAAGUCUGGGAAGUUGGAGAGAUGAGACAAGAAAGGAGCUGGAGACAAAAUGAUUCGGAAACUGAAUGAUUCAAAGGCAAGGAAAAGCACAAUGCGAUUGAAGGAUUUAACCUCUCUUCUCGAAAGUUCCUGACUAUGCCACAGCCUAUCAUUACUAGCGCGGUCUGCAAGACUUGUCAGAAAAACAAGCCUGCGGUAAUUGAAGUUUCGGGGCUGUCAUGAAGAGGUCUUCAGAUCUAAAUAGCUUCUGCAAGGCAAAUGGCUCCGUGUUUCUCAGGAAGAAAUACAAGAGGAAAAUAUAAUCUGUUAGCAAACUAUGCGAAGCAUAAAGUUUUUACAUCCAUAUAUUCUGCAUUUUCAAAGUGGAAGGGAUGUUGUGUCUCCUACUUGAUGUAUUUCCCUUAAUCAUAAAGAUGAUGUCAAAACUCAUUUGGAAACGUCUUCAGAACUCUCAUUAGCAACAUGAGGAAAAUUUUCAUUGACUUGACUGAAGGAACAGAUGAGCACGUCCAUAUAUAUUCUUGAAAGGGAAGACAAAAGCCUGCUCGCCAAUGAUGAAGGAAGAUUAGCCCUGAGCUAUCUGCCACCAAUCCUCCUCUUUUUGCUGAGGAAGACAGGCCCUGAGCUAACAUCUGUGCCCCAUCUUCCUCUACUUUAUAUGUGGGAUGCCUGCCACAGCAUGGCUGGACAAGCAGUGCCAUGUCUGCACCCAGGGACCAGGAUCCAAACUGGUGAACCCCAGGCCACCGAAGCAGAAUGUGUGAACCAAAGUGCUUUGCCACCAGGACAGCCCCU
rnacentral:lncRNA from 1 species